UACGUAGGUGGCAAGCGUUGUCCGGAUUUAUUGGGUUAAAGGGUGCGUAGGCGGCCCUGUAAGUCAGUGCUGAAAUAUCCCGGCUUAACCGGGAGGGUGGCAUUGAUACUGCGGGGCUAGAGUACAGAUGAGGUAGGCGGAAUUGGACGGUGUAGCGGUGAAAUGCUUAGAUAUCGUCAAGAACACCUAUAGCGAAGGCAGCUUACUAGGCUGUAACUGACGCUGAGGCACGAAAGUGUGGGGAGUCAAAACAGG
rnacentral:rRNA from 1 species